UACGAAGGGGGCUAGCGUUGUUCGGAAUUACUGGGCGUAAAGCGCACGUAGGCGGAUCGAUCAGUCAGGGGUGAAAUCCCAGGGCUCAACCCUGGAACUGCCUUUGAUACUGUCGAUCUGGAGUAUGGAAGAGGUGAGUGGAAUUCCGAGUGUAGAGGUGAAAUUCGUAGAUAUUCGCAAGAACACCAGUGGCGAAGGCGGCUCACUGGCCCGGUACUGACGCUGAGGCACGAAAGCGUGGGGAGCAACAGG
rnacentral:rRNA from 1 species